ensembl:lncRNA
GUUAAGGUAUGGUGGGGUGAGGUAAGGUGGGGUGAGGUUAGGUAUGGUGGGGUGAGUUAAGGUAUGGUGGGGUGAGAUAAGGUAUGGUGGGGUGAGUUAAGGUAUGGUGGGGUGAGGUAAGGUAUAGUGGGGUGAGAUGAGGUUAGGUAUAGUAAGGUGAGUUAAGGUAUAGUGGGGUGAGAUGAGGUAAGGUAUGGUAAGGUGAGUUAAGGUAUAGUGGGGUGGGGUGAGUUACGGUAUGGUGGGGUGAGGUGUGGUGGGCUGAGGUGUGGUGGGGUGAGGUAAGGUAUGGUGGGGUGAGGUGUGGUGGGGUGAGGUGUGGUGGGGUAAGGUAUGGUGGGGUAAGGUAUGGUGGGGUGAGGUGAGGUAAGGUGGGGUGAGGUAAGGUAUGGUGGGGCGAGGUAAGGUAUGGUGCGAUGAGGUGAGGUAAGGUGGGUUGAGGUGUGGUGGGGUAAGGUAUGUUUGGGUGAGUUAAGGUAUGGUGGGGUGAGGUAAGGUAUGGUGGGGUGAGGUAAGGUGAAGUAAGGUGAGGUGAGGUGAUUAGAGGUGUGGUAGGGUGAGGUAAGGUAAGGUAUGGUGGAGUGAGAUGAGGUGAGGUGAGGUAACGUAUGGUGGGGUGAGGUGAUUAGAGGUGUGAUAGGGUGAGGUGAGGUAAGGUAUGGUGGGGUGAGGUAAGG